CAAUUUUUCUUCUGAUUACGAACAAAUUAAGAACAUCAGAGGGCAUAUAUACGCAAUCAUAUAGAAAUAGAAAGUGGAGCCAAACAGAGGGAAUAUAUAUAGGGAGAGAAGGAAACUAAGAUCAUGGCCAUCGCCAUCUUCACCACAAACUUAGAAGAAGAGAAAAACACCAUAAUCUGUAUUGAAAGCUUGGACAGAUCGUAUGGUGGAUCUCUUAUGGGUGUGGGAUUUUAGAUCUGCUGGUGUUGGGAGUUUUGGAAGCUGGAUCUUGUUCGGAUCUAAUUCUUUUUUUAAUCACUUUUCGAACUGUUCAUACUGGAAUAUGGGGUUUCUAGGCUUUGAUUUAUUUCCGGUGGUUUGGUUAUGUGGCCCUAUUGGGUUUCAUGUUUCCUGUCGUUCAGUGUGCUUGUACAAUCUGGGUUAUUGUUAGCAUAUCUAGAUUUGGAGUUUUAAAUUGAUUUAAAUUGAAGUCUCUCCUCGAUGGGUCUAAUUAAUUUGUGGAUUUCCCAACUGAUUCUUUAUGCUUAUUGUUGUCUCUCUUUGCCGAAUCAAUUGGGUGUUUGUUUUCUUAGUGUUGUCUCUCUUGGCUGAGGUUUGAUUGAGUUCGUCAUGGGCAGAUGGUUUGGUCGUUGUUGCUGGUUUGGGAUCCUUUGUGUUGUAUAAUUUUCUUGUGGUGGGUUUUAUGUUGACGAUGCCGUCUUGAAGAAGAUGAAGUUUUAUAAUAAAUAAAUAAUUUUUUUAGAUAUAGUUCUUUGUGUUGUUUUUUGGUUAAAUGAUAUAAAUAUUAAUGUUUUUUAUUUUUUUAUUUUUUUGUUUGAUUAAUUAACAUGUUGUUUUAUUUAGUUUUUAAUUUUA
rnacentral:lncRNA from 1 species